CAUAGGCGGACUCAACAUCGAAAAACGAGCCAGGAGGAGAAAAUUUACCUCGAUCGGCGAUCGGAAACUUCUCCGGUGCAGCGGCAAGUGGCGGCGGCCGGCUCCUCCGGCGUCUGGUUCUUCUUCUCUGGCGAGGCACUGGCGGCUAGGGUUUUGUGGUUAGGUGUGGGUGGGGUUAUUUAUACCCUUUGCCUCUUUAUCUCAACCGUCCAUCAAGAUUAACUCUGGACCGUCCGAUCACGAUUUAAUUGGGAUUAAAUUUAGGUCGUCCAUCGCGAUGAAAUUUGGGCCGUCCGUGCCUGAUUGAAUCUGGGCCGUUCGUACGCAUGAAUCUGGGUCGUCCGAGGCGCAUGUUUGAUCUGAGCCGUCCGUGCGCGCGGGAACGGAUCUGGGCCGUCCGAUCGCGCGCACGCGGAUCGCCCACUGGCCCGUCCCGUGUCAGCGUUUCUUUGCCACGCGGCGUAUCC
rnacentral:lncRNA from 1 species